AAUUUUGUUGUUAUUCUAAUUGAUUUGUCUAAAAUCUAGAUAUUUAUAAAAUAUACUUGGUGAGAGCUAACGAUUAGGUUGGGUGGUUCUGUUUCUGAAUCUUCCUUUCUUACUAUUUAGACUUAAGAAGAAUGAAAGGCUCCAAGAAGCAUGUGCUGCUGUGACGUCUCGACUCGCAAUGGAGUUGCCCCAAGGGAACUGUGGUGUUCCUGUUGGUCAAGAAUUUUCCCAGGUUUCAAGCAUUCAUGUCAGGAGAGCAGGAGAGUACCAUAGCAAAGCUUCACUAGAAUCGAUAAAACUCAUAAAAGGAAGGUGGCACGGACCAUUUGGCCAAGAAGAAUCAAACCAGUUUCUAAGUCCCUGACCCAUUCCUUGUCUUUUGCCUGAAUAGGUUUACACCGGAGUCUGCAUAGGCAUUUGCUCUUAGGUUUGGUGGUGUUUAAUGAAACUUCCUCCAGCAUGAGAAUAGAACGACUCUCCAUGGGUUUUCCAAGGUUUUGAGGCAGCCUUCUAGCUGCUUAUGCUCUCAAAUGGAGGAGGUCUUUUCUCUAACCUAGGCAUUACCACAAACCGGCCUGACAGCCAUUCUGUGAGAUGUUCUUGGUAAAGUGCCAGGCUUGCUGGCUGAAUGCCUGUGCCUCAGUACUUGAGCAGCACUGGGUUAUCUCUGAAUUCUAUGUGGUCCUCUUCAAGGCUUGUUGGCUGUUUAUAUCAUCUCUUUAAAGAUAUUUUCCAGAAAGUUGUGGUUUUUCCGAAGUGCGUAUUACAUAUAAAGUGUGAUAGUCAUUUUAUCCCAGCCUGGCCCUUGGAGAAGCUACACUGGACCCUGAAGCAAACAGCGCAAACUGCCAGGUGCGAAUGUCCAUGGAGUUACCUCCCCUGCUUCUGGGUUCUACCUGGGUCCCCUCUGUGUCUCUUGACUCCUGGUGCUAAGGUGUACAAACUCUCUUUGUAUGGGGUCAGCACUGUAACCUUUGCAGGGUCAGCACAGGUCUUACACCUCAGAUUUGCAUCUAACCUGGCUCCCGUGGUCAACAGCUGCAG
rnacentral:lncRNA from 1 species